UAUUCUCUUGGAGGCCGCAACACGAGUCUUCAGAAAUUGUGGCUUUGACAGCUGUAAUUGGAAGGAAGUAAGUGGAUGAUUUUAUUAACCUCCACAUCAUGACUUUAAUUGAUUCGAUCGAUGGCGAAUGCAUGGUUUCUUAAUGCUGAAGACUCUCCUCUCCUCCUCCAUCUGUUAAAUGUGUUUUGUGUAAAAUCUCAUCAUCAUAUUUUGCUCUCUGCCUCUUGCUUGCAUCACUCUCUAUUUUCCUUCUUGAGGGGAGAGCAGAUGUUUAUAUAUGAAAUCUUUCUAUUUAUCUCUGAGCAGCUAAAGUAGUGAAAAAUUGCAAUGGAGAUAUGAAUGAAUCAAAGCACCAGUCUAAGCACGGCUACUUGGUCAAACUAUCUGGCGGCUCACAGAAAAUCUCUGAAAUCCCCCGUUGAUAUGGUUGACAUGUUACUGUAAAGUUCUGGUGUUGCUUGGCUCAAAUCCUAUAGCCAUGCAAAUGCUUUGCCCAUCUUCUAGCCAUGUAAGGAUCAUGGUAAUCCCAACUCUCAACACUACUACUCCUUCCACCAAGUAUACUGCUGGAGUCCCUCCCUACUACAGCUUCCCUGUCAUCUUCAUUUGCUUCCCUUUUAUCCCCUAGAGCCACCGCAGUUUCUCCUGCUCUGUUGAAUUCCUCAACUCCGCCAUCAAUGUAGCUAUAUCCUACACAAACAUAUCCCGACUCGCCCACUUCCAAGACAAUUCUCCUUUCUU